rnacentral:lncRNA from 1 species
GUUUAUAUAUAGAUUGGAGAGAGAUAAUAUAUUUUGUACACUAAAAUUCAUCCAACUCUCAUCCUUAAGCUUCUCUCUCUAAAACCUACGAAUUAUUGUAGCAUAUCAGUCCCUAAACAAAGCCCAACCAUCACAAACAACAAAUCAGAAGCAUCAAGAAGCCAGAAAUCAAAAAUCAAGCUUGAAAAGGUAGGAAAUCCUAAAUUCUAGAAAUCCUUCGAUUCGAUGUUAAUUGAUGCAAUUGAUUGUUUAAAGUAGUGUAAUAGAGAGUCUAUUAAUGUUCUGGGUUGUAAAAUCAUGAACCCAUAACAUCAAAGUGCACGAAUUUGAAGAUUUAAACAAGUUGGAAAAACCGAAUUCUGUUAUUUUUCACCAAAUGUCAGAGGCUAUAAAUCUUUGGUCGAUCUCGAGUUUUGUUUUUUAAAAGUUGUUAUAGGUAGCCUGAUAUGUGGUCUUUAAUCUCCAAAAGGAAUAAAGUUCAUAGCUAUUGUAGAUCGGGAUUUAUAAGCGGUCAAAGUGGGUUGACCGGCAUUGACCGGCUGUUCUUCAAACCCAGAAAAUAUUCUAAGUGUCCAGAAAAUAUUAUUUUGGAAAAUGUCAGGCCUUAUAUCUCGGUUAUCUUUAAUGUGUUUUGUGUUCUAAAGGUUGAUAUGUGUAUCUUGUUAUGUGGUAUUUAACCUCCAAAAAGAAUCAGGUCCAUAUAUAUUACGGAUUAAGAGUUAUUUAAGGUCAAAGUGGGUUGACCGGCAUUGACCAGAAAAUUCUGGGCAGCCCAGAAUUUUCUAAGUGUUAAUUUUUCUGACAAGGUUUGACCAUACUUUAGAUGCUUGAUUUCUUGUUUUUAUGAUGAUGUUAAGUGUUAGAGUUGUAGUCCUACAUGUUGUCUACACACUGGAAUUGAUAGAUCACAUAAACGUUACACGAUCAUCAAGUUAUAGAGGUCCAAAGUAGGCACCUCGAACUGUUCUUCGUGAAGAACAGCUUUGGUAGCUACUUUGAUGGCUGAUUUAUCCCAGAUCUGAUGUUUGUUUAGAGGUUAUGAUUGUUGGAUCUUGUAGUCUUGUAUUUCCUCUACAAGACCCAAUUUAUAGAUUGUCCAAAUUCGUUAAGAUGAGAGAGUUAUUCACGGUCAAAGUAGGCCACUCGGUUCUGCCUUAUGAAGAUCUGGGUAGGCUCAAGAACACCUAUAGCGACACUUCUGUCACUAUAGGGGCCUUUAGCGACAGUUUUAAUUAUUUUAAUUUCUGAUUUUCCGAAAAAUGAUUUAAAAAUUAGAAAAAUUAGAUUUUAAUUAUUAAAAAUACCAAAUAAAUUAUGAAAAAUUAUUUUAAAGUCUGAAAAAUAGUUUUUAAUUAUUUUGAGUAUAUUUCAUAAAUAUUUAAUAUUUUUGGAAUAUAAAAGGUAUUUAUUUAUUUAAUUAUAAUAUUAAAUAAAUGAUUUAAAAAUAGUUUUAAUUCAUGAAAAAUCAUGAAAAAUUAUAUUAUGGUAUAAGAAAAUAUUUUAAGUUAUUUCCCAUGACUUUUAAUAUUUUGUGAUGAAUUUCAUUAAUUAAUUAUAUAUUAAUGAUAUUAAAGUUAUUUAAUGAUUAUAUUAAAUAAUUUAGUUUAAAAAUGAUUUUAAUAUUAUAAAAAUCAUUUUAAAUGAAAUUAAGGUAUUUAAAAAUAUUUUAAGUUAUAAAAUAUAACUUUUAAUAUUUAAAGGAUAAUUUCAUUAAUAAUUUAAUAUUAAUGAUAUUAAGAUAAUAUUAAUGAUAUUUAGUUUAUUUAAUAAUUAUUAUUAAAUAAAUAGUUUAAAAAUGGUUUUAUUUAUUUAAAAAUCAUUUAAAGAGGAUAUUAAGGAUUUAAAAAUAUUUUAAGUUAUAAUUAAUGACUUUUAAUAUUUGGAUGAAUAGUACAUUAAUAUUUAUAUAUUAAUGGUGAUUAUUUAAAAAUGAUUUUAAUUGUUUUAAAAAUCAUUUAAGGGUAAUAUAAAUGUUUUAAAAAUAGUUUGAGUUAUUAUAAAUAACUUUUAUAUUUUGGCAAUGGUUUCAUUAAUAGUUUAAUAUAAAUUAAUUAUUAAUGAUAAUGGAAUUGUUUAAUGUUUAAAUCAUUUAAUUAUGAUUCCGAUGUUUGAAAGUUAUAGCCGGCCAAACUAGCUGACUUGAGAACCGAUUAUGAAGUUAUGAAGUUUUGAGGAACACCUAUAGUAACAGUUAUAUCACUAUAGGCCCGGUAGUGACAGAUUUGAAUUAUUUUAAAUUUUUCAAUUUCUGGAAAAUUCGAAAAUGAUUAAAAAUAAAAUGUUUGAUAUUUACAGAUGUUGAGGUAUAGGAUAAGAGUCUUAGACUCAGUAUUUACCCGAUAAAGCUGUCGGUACGCCGACAAAUGUCAGACCCUAUAAUAGAAAGAAAAGACUUCUGUAAGAGCAUGGAUGAGAUAUUUGAAAAAUGUAUAAAAAUAUUUCAAGUAUAGAAUAUGAACUAAAAGUAUGAUCACUGCGAUUAUGUGAUGACGUGAUUAGACUAUGUGCUGACUGUAAUAGACAGUACUAUGUGUUAUGAUAUAUUGUUCUAAUCGAACGAAUGAUCUGAUUAUUGAUAGGUUGUGAUAAAGAGAUAAAACCUAAGUUGAGAUUUGUAAUCAGCGAAUCAGGCAAGUAUCUUACCUUUGCAUUUCCUUUAUGCAAUGGACAUGAGUAAGAAGUUUCAGAAUUAUUCUAUUCCUGUACAGAUUAUGUACGCUUUGAUUAUCAACAUGUUAGCUCAGAUAUAUAUUCUGUUAAGUUGAUUUCUAAAUGGUUAUACAAGUGUCCCCACUUGGAUAAUCAUGGCAUUUAUUCACAUGUUGAUAUACCUUUGUCAAUUACCCGUAUACAUAUAUGUUGAAUUACAUAUUAUUGUUGAGCAAGAUUAAAAACCUUCGGGUUUGGAACCAGGCAUGUAUGAACAUCCCGAUAAUGGGAAAAUUUUUAUGCGCUUCGGCGGACAAAGGGUGAGCGAUGAAUUUCGUUCAAGUUAUGUAGUAUUGAUCAAUACAGGGUACAACGGGGCUGAUCACCCUCCGUGCCCGUAAGUUAUGACGGUUUGCGGAUGAAUUUCUGCUAAACCUUUUCGAAAAUGAAAAACAAUGUUCAUAGUAUGUUUCUUUAAACCCUAUUCAUGGGUGGAGCCUAAUUUCAAGAAAUUGAAAGAGAGUUGUUAUGUGAAUCUUUUAUCAGUACAGAUUACUUCACAACUUUUAAUUCGUUGUAGAAGUGUUAUGGAAAGAGAAUACUUAUAUUCUUUCAGCUUAUAUAUAUAAUUGCUAUUACUUGCUGGGCACUCGAAUGCUCAUCCUUGCUUAAACUAAAUGUUUUCAGUUACCUACGAUCGACCUGAAGGCUCAGGCACGAACAAGGGAAAAGAAAAGCUGUUCGAAUGAGAAUUAGUAUGAGUUAAUGGUUAUAGUUAGGAAGACAAUGGAAUCUAUUGUCAGGUAUUGUAAGGAAUGUAUUUUGAAGGUCACGUACCUGGGAAAGUAAACUUUGAUGUAUGUAAAUUAAGUUCGAAUUAUAUUAUUAUUUAGUAUUAUUCAGCUUAAAGAAAUGGUAUCGUGGAGAACCGAGUUCGGGUUUCAAGUACCUGGAUUUGGG